UACAUGCAAACAAAAAGAGUUUGGGCCCGUUUCCAUCGACACACUGCGCGUCCCAAACGCACGGGUCGGGCGGCUACAAGCGGUCGACAACUUAAAGGGAAAACUUGGGUAAACGAGUGGAGAAACACAACGGAUGAAGAUGCUGCCACACAGGUGCACUGCAUGUCCACAGGCUGCAGGAGUCCGGAGUGAUAUCCACAGGCUAACAGGCAAACAGGCUAACAAACGACUCGGAGCGAGCCAGCCCCGGAGCUCCCAGUCGGUCUCUUUGGUGUAAGGGUUGCAGUUCAGCAUGUACGGCACGCGUGGAGGGCAGCAACUCAUCAUACAAGGAAACACCGUAUGAUGGCGGGUCAUAAAGCUACAUGAAGAGCUACAGCACACAGGAGCACUGCUUCCGACGCUGCCGCCUCUGUAGCACCCCGCCUGCCUGGGAGAUCAGAUCCUCCACUGGUCGAACUUUGGGCAUUUGUGCUGGGAUCCCCACUUCCUGCCCUCACGUGUUUCCCGACACUGUGACUGUCUGCUCUGCCCCUAAUGUGCUGCACCUGUGUCUCAUUGUCUCCCCUCUCCUGGUGUAUUUAGUCUCUGUGCGAGUCUCUGUUCUCUAUAGCAAGCAUUCCAGCAAUUUCCCAGUGUUAGUAUUCACCGCGUGACUCUGUUCUUGUUUUUCUUAAACCUGGCCUUUGCCUAGCCUUCUGGUUUUGUUUGCCUGUUUCUGAUUCCCUGCCUGUGUACCAAUCCUUUUGCAAAGUACAUUUUUUGGUCUGAGUCAUGCAUUUGAGUCCCUGCCUUUUGGAAUCAGUGUGAUACCUGUAGUAGUAAACAACAGAGAGUCAGCAUACAAACUUUCCUUUAUUAUAAUGUUAACAAAAAUAGUUGUUCUUUAACUCUUGUUGGUCUAUUAACGUCAUCUUGACAAUUGACUGUUGAUUCCUUCAUGUGCUGCGCUGUGAUUAUUUUUCAAACCAUAUGCUUUUCUUCAUAUUCUAUGUAAUAUGUUCUUACCUUUUAAGUUUAGAAUUGUUAAUUGACCAUUAUGAAUGAGCUGAACGGUGUGACCUUUGUAUGUAAAACCUCAAUUAAAUGAAU